rnacentral:rRNA from 1 species
AUUGAACGCUGGCGGCAGGCCUAACACAUGCAAGUCGAACGAGUGGCGGACGGGUGAGUAAUGUCUGGGAAACUGCCUGAUGGAGGGGGAUAACUACUGGAAACGGUAGCUAAUACCGCAUACCAUCAGAUGUGCCCAGAUGGGAUUAGCUAGUAGGUGGGGUAACGGCUCACCUAGGCGACGAUCCCUAGCUGGUCUGAGAGGAUGACCAGCCACACGGGAACUGGGACACGGUCCAGCUCCCUACGGGAGGCAGGAUUGGGGAAGAUUGCACAAGGGGCGCAAGCCUGAUGCAGCCAUGCCGCGUGUAUGAAGAAGGCCUUCGGGUUGUAAAGUACUUUCAGCGGGGAGGCGUUACCCGCAGAAGAAGCACCGGCUAACUCCGUGCCAGCAGCCGCGUAAUUC